rnacentral:lncRNA from 10 species
CAAAUGUAGACCCUGCACUCAAUGUGCUUACCCUGUAGGAGCAGAGACAGAUAAGUCAGAUUUCAGUCUGGGGCAGGUGGAGCCAUGAUGAAGCCUUCCCCACACUUGUGAGACCACUUUGGGAGAUGGGAGGCAUCCCCAAGCUGGGUCAGCUUGAACCCACCAGCAGGGGUGAGCAGGUCUUCUGCAUACAGGGUUUUCAGAGACACCGGGCUGGCCCGAGACACCUGAGCUGCAUCAGAGAACAAUAGGUUCUGGGGCCUGCUGCGGCUGAGGUGCCGGGUGGGCACGCAGCUGGGGGCACCCAACAAUGACCACCAGGGCACUAGUGUUCAUCGGGUACCACCCCGUGUGCCAGGGAAUGUGGACUCAGUGCCUGCCAUGUCCCUUGCUCCGUGCAAGCAGACCACGUCUGUGCUCUCACUGAAUCCUCUGGAGGGACACCUCUCUCUACCUCUGUUUCCCUUUGGUAGACGUCUGAUAACACACGUCGUAUUCUCUUCACUCAGAAUUCAUAGAUGUCGGCUGGGUGCGGUGGCUUAUGCCUGUAAUCUCAGCACUUUGGGAGGCCGAAGGGGACAGGAUCGCUUGAGCUCGGGAAUUCAAGACCAGCCUGGGCAACAUGGCUAAGUCUCCUCUCUACAAAAAAAAUACAAAUAAUUAGCCAGGCAUGGUGAUGCAUAACUUUAACCCCAACUAAUGGGGGGGCUGAGAUGGGUGGAUCACUUUUGGGCCUGGGAGGCGGAGGUAGCAGUGAGUGGAGAUCACGUCACUGUACUCUAGCCUAGGAGACAGAGCAAGACUCCAUCUCAAAAAAAGAAAACAAAAAAGAAUUCAUAGAUGUAACAUUUUGCCUUUGAUACUUCUGAUCUUUGUUAAUCAUGAAAAAUACUCACUGGGCACAGUGGCUCACGCCUGUAAUUCCAGCACUUUGGGAGGCCGAGGCGGGUGGACCUCCUCAAGUCAGGAGUUCGAGACCAGCCUGGCCAAUGUGGUAAAACCCCGUCUCUACUAAAAAUACAAAAAUUAGCUGGGCAUGGUGGCACACCCCUAUAAUCCCAGCUACUUGGGAGGCUGAGGUGGGAGGAUUGCACGAACCUGGGAGGCAACCAGCUCUGCUCACGUGAGCUGAGCUCACGCCACUGCACUCCAGCCUGGGCAACAGAGCGAGACUAAGUCUCAAAAAGAAAAAAAAAAAAGAAAAAUACCAGAGGUUGAAGUCCUCCCAUCCCCCUUUCUUACAGGAAGUAACUGUCGAGAAAUUGUGUGUCUGACAACCCCUGUUGUCCUCUCAGUCAAGCAGUGUGUGCCGUAGUUUCAGAUGUUUGACCCUUUAUGCAGAUGACGACAUAGUGUGCGUUUUGUUCCAAGCUUUUUUCUCUUACUCGACGUUAUUUUUUUUAGGUCUAGAUGGUCCAACUAAAUCUCAUUGAGUUCUGUAAGCAGCUGGUUACCUCCAUUUCCACACUUUCCAUUUAGGAAGCUAAGGCUUAAAAAGAUGAAGCCCCUGCCAGGCAUGGUGGCUCAUGUCUGUAAUCCCUUUGAGAGGCUGAGCUGGGAGGAUCGCUUGAAUCUAAGAGUGUGAGACCAGCCUGGACAGCCUAGCAAGAACCCAUCUCUGCAAAAAAUAAAAAUAA